rnacentral:tRNA from 1 species
ACCUUCGUGGUGUAGUGGUCAACACGCUCGGCGCUUAAUUUAGAGGUCCGUGGUUCGAGUCCCAGCGAGGGCA